GACGAACGCUGGCGGCGUGCUUAACACAUGCAAGUCGAGCGGUAAGGCUCUUUCGGGGGUACACGAGCGGCGAACGGGUGAGUAACACGUGGGUGACCUGCCCUCAGCUCUGGGAUAAGCCUGGGAAACCGGGUCUAAUACCGGAUAUGACUCCAUGACGCAUGUUGUGGGGUGGAAAGCCUUGUGCGGCUGAGGAUGGGCCCGCGGCCUAUCAGCUUGUUGGUGGGGUGANGGCCUACCAAGGCGACGACGGGUAGCCGGCCUGAGAGGGCGACCGGCCACACUGGGACUGAGACACGGCCCAGACUCCUACGGGAGGCAGCAGUGGGGAAUCUUGCGCAAUGGGCGAAAGCCUGACGCAGCAACGCCGCGUGGGGAUGAAUGCCUUCGGUU
rnacentral:rRNA from 1 species